rnacentral:rRNA from 1 species
ACAUGUCCAGUAGUGGGGGAUAGCCCGGCGAAAGCCGGAUUAAUACCGCAUACGAUCUUUGGAUGAAAGCGGGGGAUCGCAAGACCUCGCGCUAUUGGGGUGGCCGAUGGCGGAUUAGCUAGUUGGUGGGGUAAAGGCCCACCAAGGCGACGAUCCGUAGCUGGUCUGAGAGGACGACCAGCCACACUGGGACUGAGACACGGCCCAGACUCCUACGGGAGGCAGCAGUGGGGAAUUUUGGACAAUGGGCGAAAGCCUGAUCCAGCAAUGCCGCGUGUGUGAAGAAGGCCUUCGGGUUGUAAAGCACUUUUGUCCGGAAAGAAAUCCUGAUGGCUAAUAUCCGUCGGGGAUGACGGUACCGGAAGAAUAAGCACCGGCUAACUACGUGCCAGCAGCCGCGGUAAUACGUAGGGUGCGAGCGUUAAUCGGAAUUACUGGGCGUAAAGCGUGCGCAGGCGGUGAUGUAAGACCGAUGUGAAAUCCCCGGGCUUAACCUGGGAACUGCAUUGGUGACUGCAUCGCUGGAGUAUGGCAGAGGGGGGUAGAAUUCCACGUGUAGCAGUGAAAUGCGUAGAGAUGUGGAGGAAUACCGAUGGCGAAGGCAGCCCCCUGGGCCAAUACUGACGCUCAUGCACGAAAGCGUGGGGAGCAAACA